AGUAGUUGAUCAUCGGCUCAGGACGAACGCUGGCGGCGUGCCUAACACAUGCAAGUCGAACGAGAUCCAUGGGAGCUUGCUCCCGGAAGAUCUAGUGGCGAACGGGUGAGUAACACGUGAGAAACCUGCCCUGGAGUGGGGAAUAACUCGGGGAAACUCGAGCUAAUACCGCAUACCCUCGGAUGGUCGCAUGGCCGACCGAGGAAAGAUUUAUCGCUCUAGGAGGGUCUCGCGGCCUAUCAGCUAGUUGGUGGGUAACGGCCUACCAAGGCAACGACGGGUAGCUGGUUUGAGAGAACGAUCAGCCACACUGGGACUGAGACACGGCCCAGACUCCUACGGGAGGCAGCAGUGGGGAAUCUUGCGCAAUGGGCGAAAGCCUGACGCAGCAACGCCGCGUGCGGGAUGACGGCCUUCGUGGUUGUAAACCGCUUUCAGCAGGGACGAAAAUGACGGUACCUGCAGAAGAAGCCCCGGCUAACUACGUG
rnacentral:rRNA from 1 species